rnacentral:rRNA from 1 species
CACGGGUGCUGCAUGGCUGUCGUCAGCUCGUGUCGUGAGAUGUUGGGUUAAGUCCCGUAACGAGCGCAACCCCUACCUUUAUUUGCCAUCAUUUAGUUGGGCACUCUAAAGGAACGCCUCGGGUCAACGGGGAGGAAGGUGGGGAUGACGUCAAGUCCUCAUGGCCUUUAUGCCCAGGGCUACACACGUGCUACAAUGGCCAGUACAAAGGGCUGCAAACCCGCGAGGGUCAGCAAAUCCCAAAAACCUGGCCUCAGUUCGGAUUGGAGUCUGCAACUCGACUCCAUGAAGUUGGAAUCGCUAGUAAUCGCAGAUCAGCGUGCUGCGGUGAAUACGUUCCCGGGCCCU